UCUUGGAGUAAAAUCACAGCUAGAUCUGAAGCCCUCUGUCCUGCAGAGGAGACAGUAAACUAAAUAGCAAGGGAUGCAGGCUGGAGGACAAGUUUCAGGAGGUAGUGAAGAUGUGAGAUGACCUGACUCCUUCAUCUGCUGACCAGAGCAGAGGCAGCGGAGGACUGAAUCAGAGGCUUGAGGAAGGAGAAGAGCCACCGCAGCCGCUGAGGGCAAUGUCACCGCAAGAUGGCAAGAUUUUGGCAAAGGACCUGUAUGUGCUGUAUGUCUGUAUCACUGGAGGAGAUGGGGUGAGAGUAGAGGAACCCCUCCUUUCUUGGGAGACAGUAUGUCUCAUGUAAUUUAGCUGCCUUCAAACUUGUGGUAUUGUCUAAAGUAACUUUGGUCUUCUGGUCAUCUCCUCCUCCCAAGUGCUGGGAUGACAGGCCCUCACCACCCUGCCUUGUUUAUGUGGUACUAAGGAUAGAACCCAGGGUCUUGUGCAUAGUAGGCAAGUACUCUUCCAACUGCACUAUGUCCGAAGUUAACUUAAAAUCUAGCUCAUUUGUGUAGGGAGUAAAGAAAGCGUGCGGUAAGCAUGCUUGGAAAUGAGCCUUGUGGACAUCUGCCAGGACCCAGGCACAGUUUACGGGGUCACAGAGUAGGGUCAAGGGCUACAGAGGAAAGUGGUGGUGGUGGGGGGAGAAUGGAUACUGAAAAUGAUCUAGCUCUGUAAAUGGGUCAGAGGAUGUAGCAGGAGGCCAAGGGAGGAAAGGACAGCUAAAUGCCAAAGAAGUGCUGAGUGUGGCAUACCUAAACGAGCCGAGGUUCCUACGGGAGCUCCCUGAGAAACAAGGAGGGGCACAGCCAUGGCAUAGCACAAUUAUCUGUUUUAUCAAGUCAACUCCCGAUGCCUCCUGUCAGCCCAUCCUUGACAUGAUCCCUCUCUAUGCUCAGACUGCUCAUCUUUCCUAGACACUGGUAACUUUCUUCACCAUCAAGAUCUCCAUGCUGCAUCCAGGAAACAAACGUCUCACUUUUUGUUGACCUUGUUGCUUCAUCCCUACAGUGACUGCCUGGCCCAAGGCUGGCCAGUAACAGAAAGCUGAGACCUCAGGGAGUCUCUUUGGUGACUCUAUGGGCUGACUGCACUUCCAGUUCUCCUCUGUCCUAACUCAUUACACAGCUGUGGGCUGAAGUGAAACUGCCCAGGGAUCUCAUUUGAGCUCAUCUUUGGUCUGUUGUUAUGAAGGAGACAUGUUAGAAGCCUUCCCACAGGCUGUUUACCUAAAGAAACCACUGUUCUCCUGAGGCACUGACUAUCCAGAUGACAGUGUCCCACUGUGCGUCCCACAAAUAUGCUGGGCAAUCAGGUAAAUAGGGUUUUUAGGGGAAGAGGCAGUACUCAGAGUUGGGAAGGAAAUGAUUUUGUAUAGUAAGUUGAAUAGUUAGCUAACUGUAAAAGAUGGGCCAAGGGGAAAAUUAGGAAAGGAUGUGUCCUCUCAGUUUUCCUUCUGACUGGAAUGAAGCAACCCUGUCAAAAGCUGUGCUCAGGACGCUCCUUGCUCAGUCUCCAGUCUUCUACUGUAGUCCAUUUCUGCCAAGUUCGUGCCUCCUGUUUGUCUCUGUACACUAGUGAGUUUCCCUGGCUUCCUGUGUUUGCACUGUCAGAGCUCCCUGGAGACCUAGACUGUUUUGAUUCUUGCCUGCCCCAGAUAAAACACCCUUUACUAGCUGUGGUCCUGUUUGAGAUUAACCAACCAGAG
rnacentral:lncRNA from 1 species